rnacentral:rRNA from 1 species
CCUACGGGAGGCAGCAGUGGGGAAUAUUGGGCAAUGGAGGAAACUCUGACCCAGCAACGCCGCGUGAAUGAUGAAGGUCUUCGGAUUGUAAAGUUCUUUUCUAAGGGAAGAAGAAAGUGACGGUAGCUUAGGAAUAAGCCUCGGCUAACUACGUGCCAGCAGCCGCGGUAAUACGUAGGAGGCGAGCGUUAUCCGGAAUGACGGGGCGUAAAGGGUGCGUAGGUGGUGCGGCAAGUUAGUAGCGUAACUCCAAGGCUCAACCUUGGAACUAUUGUGGAAACUGUUGGUCUUGAGUGCAGGAGGGGCAACCGGAAUGCCUAGUGUAGCGGUGGAAUGCGUAGAUAUUAGGAGGAACACCAGUGGCGAAGGCGGGUUGCUAGACUGUAACUGACGCUGAGGCACGAAAGCGUGGGGAGCAAACAGGAUUAGAUACCCUUGUAGUC